rnacentral:lncRNA from 1 species
GGACCUCCCUCUGUUCAGCAUAUGAGGCCUUGGGUGGCCUUUGAGCAAUUUGCAGCCUUUUGUUAUCAAAUAAAGGCUCUCUGAGCCUCCUACUUGAGCACUGAGUUUACCAGCUGCUAUCCACUCCUGGAGCUCAUUAGGGGCCUGCUGUUCUGCUGAGAACCACACCACAUGCUCUGCCCCGCGCUGGCGGCGGAUUAGCCUGUUGCUGCUCCUUAAAUUACCAGGAUCUCAGAGCAGUACCAUGAGAUGUACCAGCCACUCUAGAGUACAUGUGAGUAUAAAUGUGUGUUG